rnacentral:rRNA from 1 species
AACGAACGCUGGCGGCAUGCCUAACACAUGCAAGUCGAACGAAGCCUUCGGGCUUAGUGGCGCACGGGUGCGUAACGCGUGGGAAUCUGCCUUCAGGUACGGAAUAACUCAGGGAAACUUGUGCUAAUACCGUAUGAUGACUUCGGUCCAAAGAUUUAUCGCCUGAAGAUGAGCCCGCGUAGGAUUAGCUAGUUGGUGGGGUAAAGGCCUACCAAGGCGACGAUCCUUAGCUGGUCUGAGAGGAUGAUCAGCCACACUGGGACUGAGACACGGCCCAGACUCCUACGGGAGGCAGCAGUGGGGAAUAUUGGACAAUGGGCGAAAGCCUGAUCCAGCAAUGCCGCGUGAGUGAAGAAGGCCUUCGGGUUGUAAAGCUCUUUUACCCGGGAUGAUAAUGACCGUACCGGGAGAAUAAGCCCCGGCUAACUCCGUGCCAGCCGCCGCCGUAAGAC